UCAAGUGACUAAGUGUAUGUGGUGGAUGCCUUGGCGAUCACAGGCGAUGAAGGACGUAGUAGCUUGCGAUAAGCUGCGGGGAGCCGGCAAACGGGCUUUGAUCCGCAGAUUUCCGAAUGGGGGAACCCACCGACUUAGGUCGGUAUCACGUACUGAAUACAUAGGUGCGUGAGGCGAACGGAGCGAACUGAAACAUCUAAGUAGCUCCAGGAAAAGAAAUCAACCGAGAUUGCGAAAGUAGCGGCGAGCGAAAUUGCAGCAGCCCAGUGUUCUGAUAGCACGAACGACAGCAGAAGGGUCUGGAAAGGCCUGCUACAGAGGGUGAUAGCCCCGUAUGCGAAAUCGGACGUGUGGUACUAAGGAACCGAUAAGUAGGGCGGGACACGUGACAUCCUGUCUGAAGAUGGGGGGACCAUCCUCCAAGGCUAAAUACUCGUGAUCGACCGAUAGUGAACCAGUACUGUGAAGGAAAGGCGAAAAGAACCCCGGGAGGGGAGUGAAAUAGAACCUGAAACCGCAUACAUACAAACAGUAGGAGCCCCUGCAGUGGGGUGACUGCGUACCUUUUGCAUAAUGGGUCAGCGACUUACGUUUUGUGGCGAGCUUAACCGAGUAGGGGAGGCGUAGCGAAAGCGAGUUCGAAUAGAGCGAAGAGUCUCAAGGCGUAGACCCGAAACCAGAUGAGCUAUCCAUGGCCAGGUUGAAGGUGUGGUAACACACACUGGAGGACCGAACCGACUAGUGUUGCAAAAUUAGCGGAUGAGCUGUGGAUAGGGGUGAAAGGCUUAACAAAUCUGGAGAUAGCUGGUUCUCCCCGAAAACUAUUGAGGUAGUGCCUCGUGUAUUGCUCCAGGGGGUAGAGCACUGUUAUGGCUAGGGGGACAUGGCGUCUUACCAAACCAUGGCAAACUCCGAAUACUUGGAAGUAAGAGCACGGGAGACAGAGCACCGGGUGCUAACGUCCGGACUCAAGAGGGAAACAACCCAGACCGCCGUUUAAGGUCCCAAAUAUUGACUAAGUGGAAAACGAAGUGUGAAGGCUAAGACAGUCAGGAAGUUGGCUUAGAAGCAGCCAUCCUUCAAAGAAAGCGUAAUAGCUCACUGAUCGAGUCCUCAUGCGCGGAAGAUGUAACGGGGCUAAGUCAAUAACCGAAAGCGCGGAUUUGCAUGAAAAUGCAAGUGGUAGGGGAGCGUUCUGUAAGCCUGCGAAGGUGGUUCGAGAGGACUGCUGGAGGUAUCAGAAGUGCGAAUGCUGACAUGAGUAACGUUAAAGCGGGUGAAAAGCCCGCUCGCCGUAAGCCCAAGGUUUCCUGCUCUACGUUCAUCGGAGCAGGGUGAGUCGGCCCCUAAGGCCAGGCUGAGAAGCGUAGUCGAUGGGAAGCAGAUUAAUAUUUCUGCACCAUGUGCAAGUGCGAUGGGGGGACGGAGUGCGAAAGAUCAUCCGGGUGUUGGAUGUCCCGGUUUGUGAGUGUAGAAGGCCGACAGGCAAAUCCGUCGGCGGAUCUUCGAGACAAAGCAUCGAGGUUCUACGGAACCGAAGUGAUCGGAAGUGCUUCCAGGAAAAGCCUCUAAGCUUCAGCUUGCAUAUGACCGUACCGUAAACCGACACUGGUGGGCGAGUUGAAUAUACUCAGGCGCUUGAGAGAACUCGGGAGAAGGAACUCGGCAAAUUGACCCCGUAACUUCGGGAUAAGGUGUGCCUUUGUAGCGUGAAGAGAGAAACGCUCGGAGCGUGAAGAGGCCUCAGAGAAUCGGUGGCUGCAACUGUUUAUUAAAAACACAGCACUCUGCAAAGACGAAAGUCGACGUAUAGGGUGUGAUGCCUGCCCGGUGCUGGAAGAUUAAGUGAUGGGGUGAGAGCUCCUGAUCGAAGUCCCAGUAAACGGCGGCCGUAACUAUAACGGUCCUAAGGUAGCGAAAUUCCUUGUC
rnacentral:rRNA from 1 species